AUACAAUAUGCAAGCAUAUUCUAAGGUUUUCCUUAAAUUGUUCCCAACUCCCAUAAAUGGAUUCUCCUUCAAACUGAGAAAAAAAAGUUAUGUCAUUUCUAAGUUU